AUUGAACGCUGGCGGCAUGCUUUACACAUGCAAGUCGAACGGUAACAGGCCUUCGGGUGCUGACGAGUGGCGAACGGGUGAGUAAUGCAUCGGAACGUACCCAGAGGUGGGGGAUAACGCAGCGAAAGCUGUGCUAAUACCGCAUGUGAUCUGAGGAUGAAAGCGGGGGACCGAGCAGCAAUGUUUGGCCUCGCGCCUUUGGAGCGGCCGAUGUCGGAUUAGCUAGUUGGUGGGGUAAAGGCCUACCAAGGCGACGAUCCGUAGCUGGUCUGAGAGGACGAGCAGCCACACUGGGACUGAGGCACGGCCAAGACUCCUACGGGUGGCAGCAGUGGGGGAUUUUGGAGGAAGGGAGCAGGGCUGAUCCAGCAAUGCCGCGUGAAGGAAUAAGGCAGUCGGGUUGUGAAACGGUUUUGGCAGGAACGAAACGGUGUCCGCUAAUACCGGGAUGUAAUGACGAGACCCGGAGAAUAAGCACCCGCUUACUACGUG
rnacentral:rRNA from 1 species